rnacentral:lncRNA from 1 species
UAAAAGCUUCUUAGCAACUCAACAAAAAGGGUAUGAAUUAAUUGCCUUCUCUAGUUUCUUUUGUCUAAAUAUAAUAGAUAAGGCUGGCUGUGAACAUCAUACUCAAACCUAUUCUCUGCAGGUGCAAUUGGUAUAUAUUCAGUUUAUUAUCUCCAGUGCAAAGUUCUAUUUUAACAUAAUUACUAACAUUUAUCAGAUACAGAAGUAAUACACUCGAAAUGUAAAAACUAUGGUAAACAACUGUAGCGAUAGAGUACAGUUAAGAUUGAGUGAUUUCCACCAAACAGAAAACAACAGAAAAGAAUAAAAGAAAUAACGGGACAAAGAAUUUCAGUACUAACAAUGUAACUAAAAGGAACCAGGAAGGAGAGCAUGUAUAUCUCUUUUAUGAUAGAAGAAUUUUGGAGCAUGACAUAUGUAAACAGUUUUUUGUCCACAAGAAAUGAAAUUCAGAUUGUCAUGGUCAACACUUAUAUCUUCAUAUUACAAACUAAAAAUUUGAAGCAGUUUCAUCGGUUCUGAUAGGAAGAAGUUUGACGAGCAUGCAAAAAUGAAUGCAUAAUAACAGUUCAUUUGGUCAGUUGUGUUAUGCAGAACAGUUAAUAUCAUUGCCUUUUAGGUGGAAACAUCUACACCCCCCGUCCCCCCCAAAAGAAAACCCUCUUCUGGGCCUAUGUCCAUAUUCAAACCCAUGGAGUGGGUGUUUUUUGGGACAGAGGGAGUAUAAAUUAAAAAUGCUAUAUUACAAUCACCAUUUGAUGAGAAAACUAUAGUCAAAUGGUAUGCGUUACUCAUCUGUUCGCCUUUAUGUUGGACCAUUUUGGUUUGGUGCCAAUUCUUGCCCUACCAAUUCUUUGGUAGUUUUGAAUAGUGCAUGUUAGCAUUUUGGAUUGGAGCCAAAUUUUGCCAAAUCAAUAGAGUGGAGCCAAAUCUAUACUAUAAAAAAAAUUUUGCCGGGUCGGCCAAAGGUUGGCCGACCAAUUUCAUUAAGAUUGGGGAGAAAAACAAAGGAAUGUUACAGCGACAUUACAAUGUCGCGCUAGUCCGGGAGAGAUCCCAGACACAGCGUGAACAAACGAAGGAGAAAGAGACAAUACAACAACGAUUACUCGCUGAAUUGGGAGAAGAUCCCAGCUACCCUCCACACCACGAUUUCUUCUUUUAUAUUCUCGGCUACUUACUAUAAAAAAUUUGGUAGUGCCAAAAUAUGCCCAAGGUUUGGUACUACCAAUAUUUUGGUAGGGUUUCAAACCAAACAAGCCCGUUAUUUUCAGAACUGCCAUCUAGAUUCCUCAUGCAUGGCAAUGUCAGCGUUUCAAGAGAAUCUCAUAUUCUACCUGCAUCAGGAUGUGCUAUGUUAAUGUGACAGAGAAGGACGACCAGACAAUCAAUCAAUACUUCAAAGAAUCAAGUCAAGUUUGAAUUGAUUCUUUCUCUUUAGAUGGUCUGGGACACUGAGUCUUUUGUUACAGAUUUCCCAAAAUUGAACUGAAGAAAUCAAUGAAGACUGAAUUCUUGCUUCUAUUUAUGUCUAUCAAGCCAUAUUCGAAGGUCCAAAAUUGACCAGUUACCACUCCAGAAGAAUGUAUAAUAAUCUUCUUAUCAAAGUUUGGUUAUCACCUAAUAUAGUUCAACUAGGCAUAUGCUUAUCCAUUCAAAAGGGAAAGAAAACUAAGCAUGGUCCAAUGUUCACCUUUACGUUUCCUUUUCCUGACCAACUGUAUUACACAGCCUAUCCCAUAAUAUUUCUCUAGGUCUGUUAUGAUUGGGGCAUUUCAAAAUUAAGUAAUUUUCCAAAAUAAAACUAUGAACAUCAGUACAACGAUACCAUAUAUGUAUAGCACAAUAUACGGUGAUCAAAUCUCAGAGGCGCUUUCUCUGACCUAAUUAGAAAAACCCGACUAGUAAAAAUCCACGAACUUACAGCCAAAAAAAACGAAGGACGCGUUGUAGAUUCGCUCCACACACACACUCGCUAUAUCUCUCCUCCCCCUUCCACGUCUCCGGUUCGCGGAGAUACGAACCGGCGGUAGCCCCGCGCCGCGGCGGCGGCGCCGCCGCCGCCGAAGCCGCCGCAAGCCGAGAAUUUCCCCCGGAGAAGUAGAAUGAUGAGGCCCAAAUUUAGAUUGAUACUGUAGAUUCGAUCUCUAUCGGGCCUGGAUGCACGGCCCACCAAAUCUACCAUAUGGGCUGGGUAUGGGCCUUGAACGAAU